CAAAGAAGAAUGGAUGAAGGUAGUCCCCUGCUACUUGUAGACAUGACCCAGCAGUCAGUAAAACUGUCCCAAAGGUUAGAAACCUACCAGGACCUGUGUCUUAUAGUAAAUAAAUUCUUUACAGCUCCAGAGACAAACAGAAUUCUAAAGAAGCUGCAUAGAGUUGAUGAGAAUCUACCUACCUUCCCAACUAUGCAUAAGAGAACAAGGCACGAUAUCCGGCAUUCUGAAAUAUCUGAAUCUAGGAGGGUGUAAUGUACCUCCUUACACUCAUCUCCUUAUAUCCUAUGAGGUAGGAUAUUAAAAAGACCAAUGUCUGAAGCCUCUCUCUUCCCAACAAAUCCUCUCCUAUAAGUUGCUCCUGAGACCUAUGUGUGAGAAGAUAUAGGAAUAGGUUGUGAACAACUGAGUCUAUUUACUCUCUACAUUUGAUACCUGAGCCUAGUCAUUUGAAUUCAAAAGGUAACUACUCACUAUUUUU
rnacentral:lncRNA from 1 species